rnacentral:rRNA from 1 species
CCUACGGGAGGCAGCAGUGAGGAAUAUUGGUCAAUGGACGUAAGGCUGAACCAGCCAAGUAGCGUGAAGGAAGAAGGAUCUAUGGUUUGUAAACUUCUUUUAUAGGGGAAUAAAGGUAUCCACGUGUGGCUAUUUGCAUGUACUAUAUGAAUAAGCAUCGGCUAACUCCGUGCCAGCAGCCGCGGUAAUACGGAGGAUGCGAGCGUUAUCCGGAUUUAUUGGGUUUAAAGGGUGCGUAGGUGGUUUUUUAAGUCAGCGGUGAAAGUUUGUGGCUCAACCAUAAAAUUGCCGUUGAAACUGGAAGACUUGAGUGUGUUUGAGGUAGGCGGAAUGCGUGGUGUAGCGGUGAAAUGCAUAGAUAUCACGCAGAACUCCGAUUGCGAAGGCAGCUUACUAAGCCAUAACUGACACUGAAGCACGAAAGCGUGGGGAUCAAACAGGAUUAGAUACCCGUGUAGUC